rnacentral:rRNA from 1 species
AUGGCAUCCAACCAUCGUCGCUUCCUCCUCUCCGGCGCCGUCUUGCUCUCGGUCCUCGCCGCCGCGGCCGCCCUGGAGAGCGUCGAGGACGAGUGCCAGCCAGGGGUGGCCUUCCCGCACAACGCGUUAGCCACCUGCCACACCUACGUGAUCAAACGGGUCUGCCACCGCGGUCCCAGUCGGCCCAUGCUGGUGAAGGAGCGGUGUUGCCGGGAGCUGGCGGCCGUCCCGGAUUACUGCCGGUGCGAGGCGCUGCGCGUCCUCAUGGAUGGGGUGCGCGUGGAGGAGGGCCACGUGGUGGAGGGCCGCCUUGGUGACAGUCGUGACUGCCCGAGGGAGGCGCAGAGGGCGUUCGCCGCCACGCUGGUCACGGCGGCGGAAUGCAACCUGCCGACCGUCUCGGGAGUCGGUAGUACAUUUGGUGCUACCGGCAGAUUGAUGAAGAUUGAAUUGCCCAAGUACUGA